AAGUAUUUUAGUUGUCAUGAAUGGCAUCAACCCAACAUGAUAAAUCAAAAUUAUAACCAAAGUUUUAUAUAAGAAUGAAUACUGCUACAUAAUCAAAGCAAGCUUUGGUAUCCAUGAAAUUUCCAAAGUAACUUAACUAUGAUAUCCUUGAUUCAUCCAAAAAUCUACAAUAUCUAUGACCAAGCCAAAUUAAAAUUUCUUUCAUAUCUACAAUCCAAUCAAAUUAAAAUCUCCAUAAUGUCCACUUUUUAGCUAAUAUCGACAAUGUCUACAAUUACGUCAAUUUGAUGGAACUUAAAGGGCAAGGAUUUAAUUGGGUAAAAAAUAAAUAAAUAAAUAACAAGGAAUUGGCGGACAUAAUUUUCUUUGAGUUUCUCUUAUUUUUUUUAUCCUAAAAUCUAAUGUUAUGUAUAAAAAAAAAUGAUAAGAGAACUAUUGUCGAGGAAAAGAGAGUUUGCCUUGAGAAAGCGUUGGGCUUUUGACUCACACUAAAUUCUCAAUUAAUCAUAAGAUGAAAAAUACUCCAAGUUUAUUUAUAAUUUUGUUUUUAUUCCUUUCCAUGAUAUUAAACAUAGUAGCAAUAAACAUUAAAUGCCAGGCUUCUGGUAAUAGUAAAAGUUGUAGUAGUAAAUAAUAAUUAUCAAACCUCCAAUAAUAGUAAAAUUUAUAGCAGUAAAUAAUAAUUACCAGACUUCUAGUAAUAAUAAAAGUUAUAGCAGUAAAUAAUAAUUACCAAGACUCCAAUAAUAGUAAAAGUUGUAGCAAUAAAUAAUAAUUAUCCGGCCUCCAAUAAUAAUAAAAGUUGUAGCAAUAAAUAAUAAUUACCAGACCUUCAAUAAUAGUAAAAUAAAUCAAUAAUUUCCAAAUAUUUCGUAAUUUCCAAAAUCGUUGUUGUGGUAGUAAAAUCCUUGUAAUACCAAAAUUCCUUCAAUACCAAAUCCCUUUGAUGCACUGAACUUUAAAAUUUAAUAAUUCGCAAUCCAACCGUUAGAUUGAGCUCAAAUUUUUUGAGAAGUAAGGCAGUACCCUUAACUCUUUUAUAUCCAAUUUUCAACCAUUGAUUCUUUACAAAACUCUAGAUAACACAAUUUCAGUAGCAAAGCCUUUACAUGUUGAAUUUCAAACACCUAUAUACUGAUUUUGCGAUUUCUUACAAACCCAAUAUUCAAAUGACAUGUAUUUUUUUUUGUAUAGCUCUCAAUAUUAUAACUACACCUUUGGCAAGUUUGAGCCAAAAUUCAUUCAAAAAUGCGUAACAAAAAAUGGCUCAAAAUAUAACCAUCAACAAUUCGGUUCACUUACUUCCUUAAUUUGUAAGCUCUGACUUCGACUAGCCAUUUCUUCUUCACUUUAGAUCUGAUUUCAUCAAAUCUUGCACAAUAAUUGAAGCCCUUCAAGUCAAAUUUCCAGCUCCACCUUCCAAUCAUUAAAUGCCUUUCUACAACUCUUUGUAUGCUUGAAAGAAUGACAGUAGGUACAAAUUUCACAUCUAGACUUUAAACAGCCAUAACUCUCUCAUUGUAGACUCAAAGUUAACAACCCUUUCACAAAAAUUGUAGUCCUUCAAACCAGCUUUCCAACGACACCUUUCGUUUUCCAGAAAACCUUCUACAACUUUUUUAUGCUUAAAAGAGUGGAAGUCAGUAAGCAAUUCACACCCUAACUUCAAACAACCUUAACUUCUUCAUACAAAACUCAAAUAACAAACUUUAUACACCAAAAUUAUAGCCCAAAACACAAGCUUUCUGAAUCUCUCCUCUAAACCCUCGAAUGCCCCCGAAGAAGUGGCUUCCCCUUCAGUUUUC
rnacentral:lncRNA from 1 species